rnacentral:rRNA from 1 species
UACGUAGGGUGCGAGCGUUUGUCCGGAAUUACUGGGCGUAAAGAGCUCGUAGGUGGUUUGUCGCGUUGUUCGUGAAAACUCACAGCUUAACUGUGGGCGUGCGGGCGAUACGGGCAGACUGGAGUACUGCAGGGGAGACUGGAAUUCCUGGUGUAGCGGUGGAAUGCGCAGAUAUCAGGAGGAACACCGGUGGCGAAGGCGGGGUCUCUGGGCAGUAACUGACGCUGGAGGAGCGAAAAGCGUGGGGGAGCAAACAGG